rnacentral:lncRNA from 1 species
UUUCCCAGGUAUGUUUUCUGUUAAGACCUUUGUGUAUGUCUAAUUGCGCCUUUUCUUUUUUUCUAGCAGGGCGCGACGCAGAUUGAGGAUUUUCCAGGUAUGUUUUCUGUUAAGACCUUUGUGUAUGUCUAAUUGCGCCUUUUCUUUUUUUCUAGCAGGGCGCGACGCAGAUUGAGGAUUCCCAGGUAUGUUUUCUGUUAAGACCUUUGUGUAUGUCUAAUGGUUCCUUUUUUUUUCCUUUAGGUCGUGUGGACUUUUUUUUUUUUUUGCAGGGCGCGACGCAGAUUGAGGAUUCCCAGGUAUGUUUUCUGUUAAGACCUUUGUGUAUGUCUAAUUGCGCCUUUUCUUUUUUUCUAGCAGGGCGCGACGCAGAUUGAGGAUUCCCAGGUAUGUUUUCUGUUAAGACCUUUGUGUAUGUCUAAUGUUGUCUUUUCUUUUAUUCUGGCAGGGCGCGACGCAGAUUGGAGAUUUGCCAGGUAUGUUUUCUGUUAAGGCCUUUGUGUAUGUCUAAUGGUUCCUUUUUUUUCCUUUAGGUCGUGGCCUAGCAGCGCGACGCAGAUUGAAGAUUCAGGUAUGUUUUCUGUUAAGGCCUUUGUGUAUGUCUAAUGUCGCCUUUUCUUUUUUUCUAGCAGGGCGCGACGCAGAUUGAGGAUUCUCAGGUAUGUUUUCUGUUAAGACCUUUGUGUAUGUCUAAUUUCGCCUUUUCUUUUUUUCUAGCAGGGCGCGACGCAGAUUGAGGAUUCCCAGGUAUGUUUUCUGUUAAGACCUUUGUGUAUGUCUAAUUUCGCCUUUUCUUUUUUUCUAGCAGGGCGCGACGCAGAUUGAGGAUUCCCAGGUAUGUUUUCUGUUAAGACCUUUGUGUAUGUCUAAUUGCGCCUUUUCUUUUUUUCUAGCAGGGCGCGACGCAGAUUGAGGAUUCCCAGGUAUGUUUUCUGUUAAGACCUUUGUGUAUGUCUAAUUGCGCCUUUUCUUUUUUUCUAGCAGGGCGCGACGCAGAUUGAGGAUUCCCAGGUAUGUUUUCUGUUAAGACCUUUGUGUAUGUCUAAUUGCGCCUUUUCUUUUUUUCUAGCAGGGCGCGACGCAGAUUGAGGAUUCCCAGGUAUGUUUUCUGUUAAGACCUUUGUGUAUGUCUAAUUGCGCCUUUUUUUUUUUCUAGCAGGGCGCGACGCAGAUUGAGGAUUCCCAGGUAUGUUUUCUGUUAAGACCUUUGUGUAUGUCUAAUUGCGCCUUUUUCUUUUUUCUAGCAGGGCGCGACGCAGAUUGAAGAUUCGAAGGUAUGUUUUCUGUUAAAGCCUUUGUGUAUGUCUAAUGUCGCCUUUUCUUUUUUUCUAGCAGGGGGCGACGCAGAUUGAGGAUUUUCAGGUAUGUUUUCUGUUAAGACCUUUGUGUAUGUCUAAUUUCGCCUUUUCUUUUUUUCUAGCAGGGUGCGACGCAGAUUGAGGAUUCCCAGGUAUGUUUUCCGUUAAGACCUUUGUGUAUGUCUAAUUUCGCCUUUUCUUUUUUUCUAGCAGGGCGCGACGCAGAUUGAGGAUUCCCAGGUAUGUUUUCUGUUAAGACCUUUGUGUAUGUCUAAUGUCACCUUUUCUUUUUUUUUCCAGCAGGACGCGACGCAGAUUGAGGAUUCUCAGGUAUGUUUUCUGUUAAGACCUUUGUGUAUGUCUAAUUUCGCCUUUUCUUUUUUUCUAGCAGGGCGCGACGCAGAUUGAGGAUUCUCAGGUAUGUUUUCUGUUAAGACCUUUGUGUAUGUCUAAUUGCGCCUUUUCUUUUUUUCUAGCAGGGCGCGACGCAGAUUGAGGAUUCCCAGGUAUGUUUUCUGUUAAGACCUUUGUGUAUGUCUAAUUUCGCCUUUUCUUUUUUUUCAAGCAGGGCGCGACGCAGAUUGAGAUUUGAAGGUAUGUUUUCUGUUAAGGCCUUUGUGUAUGUCUAAUGUUGCCUUUUCUUUUUUUCUAGCAGGGCGCGACGCAGAUUGAGUAUUUUCAGGUAUGUUUUCUGUUAAGACCUUUGUGUAUGUCUAAUUGUUGCUUUUCUUUUUUUUCUAGCAGGGCGCGACGCAGAUUGAGGAUUCCAGGUAUGUUUUCUGUUAAGACCUUUGUGUAUGUCUAAUGUUGCUUUUUCUUUUUUUUCUAGCAGGGCGCGACGCAGAGAUUGAGGAUUUUCCAGGUAUGUUUUCUGUUAAGACCUUUGUGUAUGUCUAAUGUUGCCUUUUUCUUUUUUUCUAGCAGGUCGCGACGCAGAUUGAGGAAUUCCAGGUAUGUUUUCUGUUAAGACCUUUGUGUAUGUCUAAAGUUGCCUUUUCUUUUUUUCUAGCAGGUUGCGACGCAGAUUGAGGAAUUCCAGGUAUGUUUUCUGUUAAGACCUUUGUGUAUGUCUAAUGUUGUCUUUUCUUUUUUACUGGCAGGGCGCGACGCAGAUUGAGGAUUCCAGGUAUGUUUUCUGUUAAGACCUUUGUGUAUGUCUAAUGUUGCUUUUCUUUUUUUCUAGCAGGGCGUGACGCAGAUUGAGGAUUUUCAGGUAUGUUUUCUGUUAAGACCUUUGUGUAUGUCUAAUGUUGCCUUUUCUUUUUUUCUAGCAGGGCG